rnacentral:rRNA from 1 species
UACGAAGGGGGCUAGCGUUGCUCGGAAUCACUGGGCGUAAAGGGUGCGUAGGCGGGUCUUUAAGUCAGGGGUGAAAUCCUGGAGCUCAACUCCAGAACUGCCUUUGAUACUGAGGAUCUUGAGUCCGGGAGAGGUGAGUGGAACUCCGAGUGUAGAGGUGAAAUUCGUAGAUAUUCGGAAGAACACCAGUGGCGAAGGCGGCUCACUGGCCCGGUACUGACGCUGAGGUGCGAAAGCGUGGGGAGCAAACAGG